AGUAACUGCGAGUGAAGCGGCAAAAGCUCAAAUUUGAAAUCGGAGGGAGGAGCCAUCGAGUUGUAAUUUGGAGGGACAACUAAGGCCUGAACCACACCGUAAGUUUCUUGGAACAGGACAUCAUAGAGGGUGAGAAUCCCGUGUCUUGGUGUCCCCUCCAAACCAUGUGAAGUGUCUCCGACGAGUCGAGUUGUUUGGGAAUGCAGCUCAAAAUGGGUGGUAAAUUUCAUCUAAAGCUAAAUAUUGGCGAGAGACCGAUAGCGCACAAGUAGAGUGAUCGAAAGAUGAAAAGCACUUUGAAAAGAGAGUUAAAAAGUACGUGAAAUUGUUGAAAGGGAAGCGCUUACGACCAGACUCGAUCUUUGGUGAUCAGCCGGAUUUCGGUUCGGUGCCCUCGCCAUUGAUUGGGCCAGCAUCGGUGCUGACGGUGGGAUAAAAGGAGGAGGAAUGUAGCUCCCCUCGGGGAGUGUUAUAGCCUCCUUCACAAUGCCGCCAGUUGGGACCGAGGACCGCGCUUCGGCUAGGAUGCUGGUGUAAUGGUCUUAAGCGACCCGUCUUGAAACACGGACCAAGGAGUCUAACAUCUAUGCGAGUGUUCGGGUGGAAAACCCUUGCGCGUAAUGAAAGUGAACGGAGGUGUGAACCCUUCACGGGGUGCAACAUCGACCGGUCCUGAUGUCUUCGGAAGGAUCUGAGUAAGAGCAUAGCUGUUGGGACCCGAAAGAUGGUGAACUAUGCCUGAAUAGGGUGAAGCCAGAGGAAACUCUGGUGGAGGCUCGCAGCGGUUCUGACGUGCAAAUCGAUCGUCAAAUUUGGGUAUAGGGGCGAAAGACUAAUCGAACCAUCUAGU
rnacentral:rRNA from 1 species